GUGGGAUGAGGUAGUAGGUUGUAUAGUUU
rnacentral:miRNA from 1 species